UCCCGUGUGGCUCAGUUGGUAGAGCAUGGUGUUUGCAAUGCCAGGGUUGUGGGUUCGAUUCCCACGGGGAA
rfam:Salmo salar isolate Sally breed double haploid chromosome ssa28, whole genome shotgun sequence.